rnacentral:rRNA from 1 species
GUGGGGAAUCUUGCGCAAUUGGCGAAAGCCUGACGCAGCCAUGCCGCGUGAAUGAUGAAGGUCUUAGGAUUGUAAAAUUCUUUCACCGGGGACGAUAAUGACGGUACCCGGAGAAGAAGCCCCGGCUAACUUCGUGCCAGCAGCCGCGGUAAUACGAAGGGGGCUAGCGUUGCUCGGAAUUACUGGGCGUAAAGGGCGCGUAGGCGGACAGUUUAGUCAGAGGUGAAAGCACAGGGCUCAACCUUGGAAUUGCCUUUGAUACUGGCUGUCUUGAGUACGGGAGAGGUGAGUGGAACUCCGAGUGUAGAGGUGAAAUUCGUAGAUAUUCGGAAGAACACCAGUGGCGAAGGCGACUCACUGGCCCGUUACUGACGCUGAGGCGCGAAAGCGUGGGGAGCAAACAGGAUUAGAUACCCGUGUAGUCC